GUUUACAGUAAUGUGAGUUCUGCUAGAUGAAGAGGUUAUAAUAUGAAAGCUUAAGCACAUCUAUCUAUAAUAAUAAUUUAGAGUUUUCUCUAACCUCCUUCCUCCACGUCCUCAAGGAGAGUGGGGCUUUCUUCGCCACGUGUCACCAAACUAGAGCAGUUCUGACUUCUGCACAACUCAUUUCACUAAUACCACUUAUUCGAAUUUGGGUUUUUGUUACAAAUUCAUAUUGAACCCAGUUCUUUAGCCCAGUCCCUAGAACAUCUUUUAGUAGCCCACCUGGCAUUAUGUUUGUUCCUGCUUCUUCUCCUUACGUCUGCGACAUAGCCGACGGAAAUACACAGAAACUUAAAGCGCCGAUUGAUCUUUGUAACGCCUCACCAAUCUUUUAAUCCAUUCUUUACUCCGAGUUUUUCCUUGAUUAAUUCACUCCUCCCACUUGAAGAAUUCGAUCUACCUCUUUGUUUUCCACUGUAACCACCGGCGGAAACUUCUGCUAUAAAUAUCGGAUUUUCUUAUGAUGCACAGUACAACCCAAACGAGAUCCAGAAACAUACUAUUUCCUAGCAACCGAUUCUGAUGGCGAAUUCAUACACUCUCCUUGCCGAUUUGAGAACCGAUGCUCUAACAUUGCCGAGGAGGUUUGUCUCCUCAAGUUCUAGGAGGCCAGCGGGGAACUGAUUGAUGAGAAUGUAAGCACCAUUUUCCUCCGACUAACCCUUUCCACAAAUACAUAUAUUUUGGUUUCUAACGUUUGGUUUUGCUCAUUUCGAACAGUCUUUUGUAGUGCCAUGUUUACUUAGGAUUCACAUAACACACCAAAUUCGUUGAGCUAGCAGCAACCAUCAACCUAAUGCCUCACGAGAUGUUUAGGUUAUUGAAGGGCAUCAAGACCAUUUUCAAUGACGUGACACAGAACACAGACCACAGAAAGUAUAAUGGCAUACUUGCAAAUUGACAGCUUCGUUUCAACUGCAGUUUUGAACAUGUGGCUCAGAAUUGACAAGUAUGCGUUAAUUGAAAAUUGACAGGUGAUAACCAUCCUGGUAACAACAUGUAAACACAACUAUUGAAUUCAAAUCCACUACUUUGAUAGCCACCAGUGACCACCAACCAAACUUUGGACAACUAUUGACAGUUAUUGAAUUCAACUCCACUACUUGUCUGUUGCACACGUUUGUUUCUGUUUAUCUGCAGGGAGGUGAUAACCAUCCUGGUAACGACAUGUCUGGAGCUGGAGCUGUGAAGACUAACCAACCUGAAUACAUGAUGGUCUGAUAACUGAAUUCAUUGAGGGAACAGCUGGGGUAAAUAAUGUUAGUUGUUGCUGAAGGAGGUGAUGUGGACCAACUCUUCCACCUGUUGAACAUGUUUUAGCUGGGUCUCCGGAUGAGAAUGAAACAAUUACGGAGGACAAGCGUGAAGGGAAAAAGCCAUUUAUUAUUUUCUAUCAGUAGCUGUUCUUUUUUGCCACCUUUAAAACUUUACCUACAAGGAAACAUAGUUGGUGCAAUGUUAAUGAAUAAUAAAGUUUUUUCA